rnacentral:rRNA from 1 species
UACGUAGGGGGCAAGCGUUGUCCGGAUUUAUUGGGCGUAAAGAGCGUGUAGGCGGUUAGGUAGGUCCGUUGGGAAAACUCGAGGCUCAACCUCGAGACGCCGAUGGAAACCAUCUGACUAGAGUCCGGAAGAGGAGAGUGGAAUUCCGGGUGUAGCGGUGGAAUGCGUAGAGAUCCGGAGGAAGACCGGUGGCGAAGGCGGUCUGCUGGGCAGUUUCUGACACUGAUGCGCGACAGCGUGGGGAGCAAACAGG